GGGUCGCUAGCUCAACUGGUAGAGCAUUCGGCGAAGUAGUGUGUCCGCCCUCCGCUCGCGCGGCCAUGGGUGCGCUUCCUUCUCUCUGAAGACCCGAAGUGUUCGGGGUUCGAAUCCCCGGCGACCCC
rnacentral:tRNA from 1 species